GAGGGUAUAGCUCAGUGGAAGAGUAUGUGCUUAGCAUGAAUGAGGUCUGGGGUUCAAUCCCCAAUACCUCCA
rnacentral:tRNA from 1 species